GCGUCGGGAGGCGUUGAGAAUAUUCUUGCGGGAAUUUAGGAGCCAUCAGUGAGAUACCACUCUUGUAAUGUUAGAUUUCUAACUUUGGAUCAUUAUCUGGUCAAAGGACAGUUUCAGGCGGGCAGUUUGACUGGGGCGGUCGCCUCCUAAACGGUAACGGAGGCGCACAAAGGUUUCCUCUGAACGGGUAGAAAUCGUAUCUAGAGUGUAAAGGCAUAAGGAAGCUUGACUGUGAGACCUACAAGUCGAGCAGGGACGAAAGUCGGUCUUAGUGAUCUGACGGUGCUGAGUGGAAAGGCCGUCACUCAACGGAUAAAAGUUACUCUAGGGAAACCAGGCUGAA
rnacentral:rRNA from 1 species